rnacentral:rRNA from 1 species
AGUGAACGCUGGCGGUAGGCCUAACACAUGCAAGUCGAACGGCAGCACAGUAAGAGCUUGCUCUUACGGGUGGCGAGUGGCGGACGGGUGAGGAAUACAUCGGAAUCUACUUUUUCGUGGGGGUUAACGUAGGGAAACUUACGCUAAUACCGCAUACGACCUACGGUUGAAAGCAGGGGAUCUUCUGACCUUGCGCGAUUGAAUGAGCCGCUGUCGGAUUAGCUAGUUGGCGGGGUAAAGGCCCACCAAGGCGACGAUCCGUAGCUGGUCUGAGAGGAUGGUCAGCCACACUGGAACUGAGACACGGUCCAGACUCCUACGGGAGGCAGCAGUGGGGAAUAGUGGACAAUGGGCGCAAGCCUGAUCCAGCCAUACCGCGUGGGUGAAGAAGGCCUUCGGGUUGUAAAGCCCUUUUGUUGGGAAAGAAAAGCAGCAGGUUAAUACCCCGCUGUUCUGACGGUACCCAAAGAAUAAGCACCGGCUAACUUCGUG